CACGAUCGGGACUCUGUAUUCCUCUCCUAUAGGCGCGUCGUCUUCAUCCAGUUUCCUCCAAUAUGGAUCAAGCUAGAUUAAUAAGCGCAUGACGCGAUAAUUUUUUUUCCGAUAUCAUUCCCGUGGUCUCUCGUGAGGCGCUCGGUCUGCGUGUACGAGUCUGCGGCCAGACCACACCGGGUCGUGUUGUGAACCUUAUCGCCCGUGUCGUUGUGACGAUGUCGCGCGAAAUUCCAUCUCAGUGCAAUGGGCUCCCGACUUGGGAUCUGCUCGAGUCUCCUCAAGAAUCCUACCGACCGCGCGACAAGUCUCGGGAGGCCCCUCUGCUCUUAUUUGAUAAGACAGACUUUCAGCACUUCGCUCGGAUCACCUACGACUUACCUGACGAUAUUCAGUUGAAAGCAUCGGUUAACGACUUUCGCGUUAACGAUAAAAACUGUCACUACGACUGGUCCAAUUGGUACGGACAUAUCAACACAAGUGUAUCCGCGGAAUUAUAUCCACAGGCAAAACUGGCCAAGACAAACCAGCGGCAACUGUUCCGCAAGGAUAUGUCCGAAGAAAGCGCCGAUCCCUUUAGCAGCGAAACGAUCGAACGGAACAUUGCGGAAUACUUAGAGAAAGAAGUGUGUUUCGAUGAUAACGAUGAAAUACCGGUCUACAACGACUCGGCGAACCACAUGGAAGUGGAGGAGUCCCACUUUGUAGAAAAGGAUAUCGUGCAGGAGGAUCCCGUGGCAGAUUCCCCAGAGAAAGAUUCUUCAGAGGAAGAUGCCACAGAUGAGGAGGUACUGGAGAUACUGGACAGGCAGCCAAAGAGCUAUGAGCAAGUGAAGGAGGGUCUUCGAUCACUUGUUCCGAAACGUCCGACGACAAUGAGGGUCAACUCCGGCCACUACGCGGGCUUUAAACUGCUCUUCUCUCUGGUAGUUUCAUUAUGCGUAAUCCUCAUUUCUUUCAUGGCUCGGGAACAGAGUUAUCAGCACAGUACCCUUUUCGCAAACGUCACGGUCGAGCUGAAGAAACGAGUGUACGGUCAGGACCGAGCCAUGCAAGCUGUGGGGGAUUACCUUCGGCUGGACGAGCCCACUUUGAAGAUAAUCGCUCUCGUGGGCGGCACAGGCGUCGGCAAAUCUUACACGGUCUCGAUCGUAGAGAGUAAUUUCCCGAAAUACUCUGUCCGCCGAUAUUUCUCGCCGAUCAGCAUGACCAUGAACAACGUCAGCUUUUCGUUCUUGUACCCGAAACUAAUUGUCUUAGAGAAUCUGAAAGAGCACGACUUGCCGGACGUUGUGAAUUUCUUGAAGACGCGCGAGCAAGUGGACGUCAAUCAGUACAUCACCGUGUUGGCUGUGUUCAACGUCGAGCACAUGGACAACGAUUCAAUACGUACGAUAGAUCUCGAUCGGAGCACGGAGGCGAUAAGGAAUUCCUUCGCCGGCGAAAAUCUCGACGUCAAAGUCAUCGUUUACGAGCCUUUGAGUGAAGAUGUUCUCGAGAAGUGCAUCGCCGACGCGGCGCGUGAUAGCAAAGUGACGCUUUCCAACGGAGAUGUUGAGUUCCUCAAGAAACACUUGGCGAUUAAUAACGCUGGUUGCAAAGGAGCCUACAGGAAGGUUCAGGUUAUCGGUAGAAAAUAAAAGGGAUGAUCUUGGGCGCGAGUCGUUUGAAGGCGCGAAAAUAUUAAAAUAUUAUAUAUUAAAGAACGACUACGACUGACGCGAGAAUACUUUUUUCACAACGUCGCGAAAAUAUCCAUAUAUAUGUAACUUUUAUCGUUCACACAUAUUGUUAUUCUUUUUUCAACAUAUUCCGACGACAUUGAGACUACGAAUAGUUCCUAUCGCGAGCGAGCGCGUAUAUGAUCUCCUCCAGGGCGCGUGAAUGAUCUCCUCUUCGAGGCAUGUUUCCGCACGCCCAUUUGAUCAGUUCGCCGCUCGGAUUUGCUGAUUUCUGAUUCGAGGAAUAAUUUCCCGAUAAUUAACGUCGCGAGAAUGGGACGUGCCAGCGGCCGCUGAUUCAAUUUCGCGGUGAAAGCACAGAACUCUCGCACACGUAAGUGUCACGGUAUGUUAGUAAGAAGCGCGCAAUGAAAUUUCUACGCGCGUCGCAUCGCUUCCGGAUCAUCGCAGGGCGGACGUGCCUCUCGGUACGAUUCUCCGCAGGAGAUAAUGAUCACGGGGUGCGUUCGGCGCGUAUCCGGCGAAACCCGGUAAUCGGCGUGAUGCGAUCACGCGCGGUUAGACGAAGUCGACGUUGAUUGGGACUCCUGGAUUAGGAAAUGUAACAUUCAGAAAAGCUAGGAAAACUCUGUCCUCAUCCACCUGUGCAAUCGUGCUUGGAACCGAUGGCGACGAUGCGAGUGACUGCGGUGCGUUGCGUUGCGUGUGGUUAGCUUCAUAAUGACACGUGAUCGAAGCGUAAGCGUUACAACCGUCGUGUUACGUUGUUAUCCGGCGAUCGUUCUUACGCAAGGAAGAAGAACCGUUCAAUCGUGUAGUUUUUUAUCUUCCCUCUUCGUAAUAAUCACAAUAAGUGAUUGGAACGAAUAAGUUUAACUUGCGAAGUCCACCUUUCGGAGAUCGGACGAGCGAGCAGUCGAGAGAAUUAUAUUAUAUUUUUAAGAUAUACGACGUAUAUUCACAUAUAUUUUCUACAUGCAUAUGUGUAUUCUUCAUACACACAUGUAUUUAAAAAUAGGUAUUUAAAAAUAUUUGAGACGUGAAAAUAUAAUUCUUUAAUCGUGGAUCGGCGAAAGUGGACUCAAGAAGCGAAAGAUGUGAAAUCGGUUAAGCGACGCAUUGACUGAUCAUCUGAUUGUUAUAGAUCUAAAGAAGAUCCAAGUGCCAAAAAUGCGAUUAACUCAAAGUUAAUGUUUUGUUCGUACUCGAAGUGCCGUGAACAUUGGUUAAAUUUCUGCGUGAUAUAACGAGCUUCCGAGUUCCGAUUUCUUGAAAACCACGUUGCUCAAUUUUGCUCUUUCUUUAAGUUGUAAGUGAUACAUCGUAAUUAACGGAACAAAGACGCCCUACCUAUAGUUUUAUAUAUUCGUAAAUCUUUUCAAUAAAAUUUUUUUUAUAUUGAGACGUAAA
rnacentral:misc_RNA from 1 species